rnacentral:pre_miRNA from 1 species
UAUUCCCUCCCUCCCUUCCGAAUUACUCCUUGGAUUUGUCUAGAUACGGAUAUAUCUAGACUCAUUUUAGUGCUAGAUAUCUCUGUAUCUAGACAAAAUUAAGACAAUUAAUUCGGAACGGAGGGAGUAUUAA